rnacentral:rRNA from 1 species
GACGAACCGUGCGAACGUUGUUCGGAAUCACUGGGCUUAAAGGGCGCGUAGGCGGGCUGGAAAGUCAGGGGUGAAAGCCCACGGCUCAACCGUGGAAGCGCCUUUGAUACUGCCAGUCUCGAGGGAGGUAGGGGCGUGCGGAACUUCCGGUGGAGCGGUGAAAUGCGUAGAUAUCGGAAGGAACACCGGUGGCGAAAGCGGCGCGCUGGACCUCUUCUGACGCUGAGGCGCGAAAGCCAGGGGAGCAAACGGGAUUAGAAACCCU